rnacentral:lncRNA from 1 species
AUUAUACCAGCAAUCCAGCCUGAAGGACUUAGCUCAUAGAUGUCUUCUGAAAUGUGGAAGAAAUACUUUCGUUUGUCAUAAAACCUCAGCAGGAGAUUGGAGUCUGGAAGAGGGAGGGGAGAAGAGGAGGACCUCAGGGAGAUUGUUUUGCUUAUUGGUGUUUAAUUAAAAACCAAACAACUUUUCCUAUUAACUUGAUGCUACUUAUUAAUUGAAAUGAGGAGACUGACUCUGGAUAUUGGGAAAAUUUAUGUCUGGAAUAGCAAAUUGACCUCAAAAGAUAUAUUUUGAUCAGGAUGAAUUCCAAAGCUGAAAUUAGUUGUUCUCUGAGUUCAGAGUUUUAGAUUAAACAUCUCUCUCUUGAUAUAUAUAUCUAUGGUGACCAUUAUUCUGAGUGUUUUAAAAGCAAUAUUUUUCUAUUGAAGAAAUGAAAAUAGCAGUCAUUCAAAAUCCUAUUGUGCUAUCUUUUGAUCAUCAUAAUAAGCAAACGCAAAUAAUUCUCCCUUGGUGAUCCAAUUAAAUGAUUUUAAAAUAUCAGUGUCAAAGCUGUUCCUUCUAAAAUUUAAGGCAAAUCUAAUAGAUUCUAAACAUAGAUUACAAACUCAAACGCCCUCAGGUGCCAGGCAGGAGAGAUUAGAGAGCCGCCUGUCAGAAUGGAGACGCUAGAUUUAGUUUAUCCCCAAUUUGUAAAAGACAGACGCUGGUUGUCUUUUCAGAAUGACAAGAAAUCAAUAGACAAUAUUAUCAAGUGGUCAGAAUCUUGAAAGAAGGCAGAAAUUUAGGUAUAUUUAUUUCUAAUUUCUAAAUGUUGACAAAGAUUUAAAAUUUUAAAAGUACCUUGUAUUUUAAAUUAACCCUGUUGGAAGUCCAGCGUCAGCUGUUGGACUGCUACUUUGCAAUUACGGCAAAGUGGGACAGCUACAACCAUCUUUCUGGUUGAGUGCACUAUCCUCUUUCCCUUUCCGAAUUCACUUAUUUAUUAAACUACAUUUGCUGCUCAAGUCUGGGCUUCCUGGAUGUAAAAAGUUCUCCGUGAUCUGGCAUCACUCUGCCAUCCUGCCUUCAACCCUGCUGCUCCCAUCAGAGUGGCUUCCUUGCAGUCAUCUGACAUAUUCAACAUUGUUUUGCCUUCACUGCUGAGCUCAUGAAGUUGGUCUAUGAAUGUGUCAUAUAGUAGAAAGAAACUGGAUUUGGACAAAAUUCUAUGCUGAUAAAAAGGAUGAUGAGGCCAAUGCUGUGGAUGUAUUUAUAUAUCUGCUGAAUCUGUCAUUUAGGAAUUAGUAAAUAGUUGCUGAAUCCUUUGUUUUAAAUAUCGCGUACUUGAAAACGAUAAAUAAUUUUUCAACCUUUGGUUCUUCAGAUUGAAAAAUUUCAGCUCACAGAAUCUUUCCCAAGAUAGAGAAUUUCUAAACCUGUAAUUAUUUUUGUAACUUGC